UUCCACCUGACAGAUGGGACCGUCCGCCGUAGCUCCUCCAGGAUACCGGAAGUUGCUAUUUUACUUCCGGCGCGGUAGACCCUGGGAAAUAAAGUCCGGAUGUCCAGAACUCCAGGAAGCCCCCCCUCUGCAGUUCAAGGAGAUCUUAGCAACAUCAGAGGCCAGCCCAUCUGGGAGCUGCGCCCAGAGGAUUGUGGGAGUUCCCACGGGGUGCGCGCUCAAAGGGGCGGGGCCCUCCGGUGAGCCAAAGGAACUCCCGGGUUCUGCGCCUGUCCUGCUCUUUCUCUGGUGGAGCUUACAGACAAAUUUAAGUUUUGAAGUUCCGAAUGAAGUUAGAGCAGGUCGAGAUGUAACUGACUUGAUUACGCUUCGCCUGAGACCCACCGAGGAGGACUCCGCCUCCUGUGCUCGGGUAGGGACUGUGGUAGAUUUGAGAAGACGGAACUGAAGAGCUGGUUGGUUCAAACGUGGGUAGUUUACAUCAGAGACUUCAGAGUCAGAUGUGCUGGACCUCCCAGGGUUCAGUGUCCCCGUAUCCAGACGGGAAAAUGUGAGUGAGGACCAGUCGAUAUGUAUCACCAGAACUGUGUACAUUACACAGUCAUCUACCUCAUGUUGCAGGAUGAAUGAUUAGCAGGCUUUUCUGGCUAUGAGACAUGUCAGCUCCAGGCAGCAUCCUAUUCGACUUGUAAGAAGAUGUUGAGCAUCGAAGAACUUCCUUUAGAAAAUGCCUUCGAGGGGCUGGAGAGAUGGCUCAGUGGUUAAGAGCUCUGACUGCUCCUCCAGAGGUCCUGAGUUCAAUCCCCAGCAACCACAUGGUGGCUCACAACCAUCUAUACCUUCUACUGCUCUCUUCUGGCGUGCAGGUGUACAUACAGAUAGAACAUUCGAAAUAAAUAAAUAAAAUCUUAAAAAAAAGAUACCUGUUUAAAAAAAAAAAGAAAAUGGCUUCGAAAGUGGCAAGCUGCCACUGAGCAAGGAAAUGCCUUCGCUUCAACUGCAGACAGACUGCUGUCCAAAAUAGAUAAAAUUUGGAUGCAGGCAAAGUUGACUGCCAAGCUCUGCCAAGACAAGGUAAACAAGUCCUUCAUAAUUCCUGCUACACAGUUACGUCUAUCAGAUACACCUGGCCAGAAUGCUGAAGAUAGGUGCUCCAACAUCAUACAGGAAUUUUGGGUGACUGUCUAGGCAGCCAGCUGUCUGUCAAUUCUCUAUCUUGAAAGCUGCUUGCUGGCACUUCCUACAUACUAAGGUAAUAUUAUUUCCUUCUCAAAUCUAUGAUAGGGUUGAAUAGUUUAGUGUCACAAUUAGGCUUAAGUUGCUUAGGAUUUAGAAAAUGUUUUAAAGAGAUAUUUUUAGGUCUAAGUAGAAUUUUUAGGUUGCUAAAUACAAGUUAUGAGAGAAAAUCAUUGGGGUACAGAACUCUGAACUCACCAAAACAGGACAGAUAGUAGAGUGCUUACUCCUAAGUUGUCAAUCACAACGAUGGACCGGACAUCGGUAAUGUAAUUAUUGCAUGAUACUUUUCAUAAUUGUUUCACAUUUGUUCUUACUGUACGGGAUCUAUUAUUGUAAGACGAAGAGCCUUUUUAUUGAGACAAAAGAGGAAUUGUUGGAGGUUGGUCUGAUGCUAUGUAGUCUAAUGCUAACUGCUGGCCCUGAGAUCUGCCCAGAGGAGCACAUUCGCACAUACACCUGCCUUUGUUGUGUAAAUCUUGCUCUACCUGAUUUAAGUUGAUUGGUUAAUAGAGUUGCCGAAGCCUGUGACUGAGCAGAAGGGAGGCAGAGGGAGCCUAGGUUCCCAGGCUUGGGGUCUGAGAAGGAUGAGGCUGUCCAACAAACAGUGAACGUCAGCGUGUCCUUGAAGAGCAAACCUGCAACUUUCUUUUCAAUCAUGAUGUUAUCAGGAGAGAGGGUUCGGCAGUUAAAAGCACUUGCUGAUCUUCCAACAGACCCGAGAAGGACCCGCGUUUAGCUCCCAGGACCUGUGCUGGGCAGUUGACAACCAGCCACCUGUAACCGCAGCUCUAGGGCACUCCUCCUGCCUGCCGAGCUGCUGCACGUGUGCACACACAGGGUGGGGAUCACGAAUAAAAGUAAAAUCAUUCUAAAAUGAAAUUACCUCUCUAGUCUGCGCUAGAGGGUUUCCCCAGCCGAACCCCACUGCCUUGGAGAGAGGGAUAACCACCUACAAGGUGGACAUGACCACGGGCUGCACUGUGAGCUAGGCAUUCUGUUCCCAUGCUACCGACCUGUAGGUUGCUGAAGGGAGAUCCCUUAUUAGACCACCAGAUUUGAUCAGUUUGCCCUGGGAAAUUAUAGAGACUUCGUGGUAUAUUUUGUGAAAGCAAACACACUCCACCCAGGCAGCAUUUUAAAAUUAAACGGUUUACUUACCUCGUGUCGGUUCCCCUGCUCCGGCGGAAGCAGACCACACCACUGGGCUGCUAGGGGAGCGCUUUACCGGCACAGCUGAGGCCUCUGACAGAGCCAGCGCCGUCUUCCAGGUGAGGAACCAGACCCUCCUAUGGCAUCUUGAGAACCCAAGCUGUCUGACUGGAGAGAGAGACAACGUCUUUGAGUCAGAACAACACGAAUAAGCUACUGUGAUUACCUGAUCCCCUUAAAAUGGGCGAGAUAAAUGUUUACUGGUUGGACCAAUGGGAGUCUUCACUUUUAAAUCUAGAAAUCUGCUGCUGCAUAUAAUGGUCACCAGGGGGCAACAGGAGUCCAAGGAUAAAAGCAAAGAGAACCGUGUUCUUUGCCCCUAAGUGUGCGUUCACAAACCCAUCUCCAUCCCAUUACAGAUAUCUUGAAGCAGAAAGGAGGAGCAGGAGGGGAGGAAGAAGAGCAGAUGGUCAAGGUUGCCUGUCCCCACCAGUCCCUUUCCCACCCCCAUCCUCCAUUCCUGAAAGUGAGAAAAAAAGGAGGAAAUGGGAUUAACAACGUUCUAAUGUUUUUCAUUGUUCCUAGAACCAGACAACUCUGCUAUGAAUUUUUUUUUGUAAGUUCAGUAGGAAAAUCAUGGGGAAAAUGAAAACAAAUUAAAAAUAACAAACGAGGUAGGUCUGCCAGGCAUUAAAGCAAUAUAAACGGGGCAGUGAUGGCUGAGCAGAUGAAGGAGCUUGCAGCCAAGCCAGACAGCUUUGGCACAUGGAGGAGGAAAAGCACAAGCCAGGAAGCUGUCCUCUGAGCUCCACACAUGGGAUAAGGCACAUAUACACACACAUAGAGAGAGAAACACAUAGACACACACAGAGAAACACAGAGAUACACACACAGAUACAGAGAGAAACACAUAGACACACACAGAGGAACACAGAGAGAGAAACACAUAGACACACACAGAGAAACAGAUACACACACACAGAUACACACAGAGAGAAACAGAGAUACACACACACACAGAGAAAAACUCAUAGACACACAGAGAAACACAGAGACACACACACACACAGAUACACACAGAGAGAAACACAUAGACACACACAGAGGAACACAGAGAGAGAAACACAUAGACACACACAGAGAAACAGAUGAACACAGAGAGAGAAACAGAGAUACACUGAGAGAGAGAGAAACACAGACACACAGAGGAACACAGAGAUACACAGAGAGAGAGAGAAACACAUAGACACACACAGAGGAACACAGAGAUACACAGAGAGAGAGAGAAACAGACACACAAUGAGAAACAGAGAUACACACACAGAAACACAGAGAUACACAAUGAGAAACAGAGAUACACACACAGAGAAACACAUAGACACACAAUGAGAAACAGAGAUACACACACACAGAGGAAGGGAGAGAGAGUGGGAGAGAGAGGGGGAGAGAUACCGACUUCUAAAAAGAGGAGCCAGACAUGGUGGUGCACACCCACCUAUAAUUUCAGCACUCAUAGGAGGAGGCAACAGAAUCAGAAGUUUGAGGCCAGCCUGGCCUAAGUGGACACUGUCUAUAAAAAAAAAACCCUCAAACAAUAACAAUAGUAGUAGCAAAUUUAAAGUAAAUGAAGGGAAUCAGGAAGAAACCUGUGAAAAGUAGGCAAGAUCGCUGGGAGGUGGUGGCACUAACCUUUAAUCCCUUUAAUCUCAGCAAUUGGGAGGCAGAGAUAGGUGGAUCUCCAAAUCCGAGGCAAGCCUGGUCUAUAAUUGAGUUCCAGGACAGCCAGGGCUACACAAGAAAACCCCAACUGAAAACGGGGGGGGGGG